GGCAAGUACUCGACGACUGUGCAGGACAGCUUACGUACCAUACACGCUUAGCAUUGGUGCUGCAUGGCUGUCAUCAGCUCGUGUCGUGAGAUGUUGGGUUAAGUCCCGCAACGAGCGCAACCCCUGUGAUUUGUUGCCACCGGAGCAAUCCGAGCACUCGAAUCAGACUGCCCAGAUCAACUGGGAGGAAGGUGGGGAUGACGUCAAGUCAGUAUGGCCCUUACGCCCAGGGCUGCACACGUACUACAAUGCCCAGCACAAUGUGAACCGAAACCGCGAGGUGGAGGAAAUCCUCAAAACUGGGCUCAGUUCAGAUUGCAGGCUGCAACUCGCCUGCAUGAAGUUGGAAUCGCUAGUAAUGGUACAUCAGCUACGGUACCGUGAAUACGUUCCCGGGUCUUGU
rnacentral:rRNA from 1 species